GCGCGAAAACUUUACAAUGCUGGCAACAGCGAUAAGGGAACCUCGAGUGCCAGGUUACAAAUCUGGCUGUCGAGAUGCCUAAAAAGCAUUUCAUAGCAAGGGCCGGGCAAGACCGGUGCCAGCCGCCGCGGUAACACCGGCGGCUCGAGUGGUAACCGUUAUUAUUGGGUCUAAAGGGUCUGUAGCCGGCCGGAUAAGUCUCUUGAGAAAUCUGGCAGCUUAACUGUCAGGCUUUCAGGAGAUACUGUCUGGCUCGAGGCCGGGAGAGGUGAGAGGUACUUCGGGGGUAGGGGUGAAAUCUUGUAAUCCUUGAAGGACCACCAGUGGCGAAGGCGUCUCACCAGAACGGACCUGACGGCGAGGGACGAAAGCCAGGGGCACGAACCG
rnacentral:rRNA from 1 species